UUGUUCUUCAGGGGGAAGUUGAAGCCCAGGGCGGACCCGAUGCUGAUGACGAUGAAGAGGGUCAUGGCCAGGAACUCGGCCACCACAGCCCUCCAGAAGAGCUUCUUCUUGAACUCGCUGGCCAUGCUGGCUGGCUGGCUGGCUGGCCGGGGGCUCUCUCAGGGAGGCAGGCA